GAAGAAAACAUUGCCUUCUAAGUUAUCUGAAGCUGUUUUCUUUAGAUUUCCUCCCAUAGAAUAAUGUAUUUUUCUUUUAUUAAUCUAUGGAGUUUAAUUUUUUUUUCUUUUACUGUUCUUGGCUCUAAACAGAAUAAUUAUCUAAAUAAAAUUCUUGCCAACAUUUGUAUAGACCUCUGGCGCCUCAAUUACAGUCACAGAUUAAAAGUGGAAUUUUAAAUGUCUGGUUUAUACUAGAACAGUGGUUCUCAAAGUAUGGUCCCUGGGUUGCCAGCAGGAACUCAUCAGGCAUGCACAGGAGUUUUCAGAAGCCCUCCAACGGCCUCUGUGUGUGCGUCAGAGAGAACCAUAGCACUAGAACUUUCAAUGCUAAUUCUCUAGCAAAAUAAAAACUUCUCCUGCCUCCUUAACUCCGUAGUCAAAUUUUUAAAAGAAGAUUCUGGUUCUGAAUUCAUCUUGAGGAUAUGUAAUAGGUAAUAUGUAAUAUGAAUAGUCUAGCAACUCAUGCAAACAUAUCUUAAACUAAUGAGGAAGUAUCAAGUCCCAGAGAUGAGAGAGUGGGGACCUCCGAGGUCCUACUACACCCAUAGCUAACCAUGGUCUUAAGUGCUGAGGAAAGGAAACUCAGCUCUUACAGUACUGGGCCCAAGAGACAAAGCCCGGUCCUGCUUGUUUCUGCCAUGAGACACUGGGCUUUGAGCACAGGCAAGUCCCAAAAAAGCAAACCAAAUGCACCAAAAACAAACAAAAAAAGGAAAUAAAAUAUCAAUCAGAUUGAGGUAAAGUGAGAGAAGCCAGAAAACCAAGUGAAAAGGAUCAGCUUUCUCUAUGUGGAGAGAAAUAAUCCAAGACAAAAGAAAGAGAUGAAGGCAGAGGUGCUCUCUUAAAAAACAACAGCCGCAUUACGUCGAAUCCUUGCAGCCGCCCCACGUUCAUCAUGUCGUUGCACCGCCUGGGUACUAUGCACAUGACUUCCACAGCUCUCUGUGGGAGGGGAGAGAGAAGAGUGAAAGCUCAAGUUCCUCUAGGGAAAAUCUGACGUGCUCACCCUCCGACCUGAUGAAGUUCUGUUCUUCCUCCCCACCCUCUAGUGUGCAGGGCUUAUGGAGAUGCACUGGAGAGACUCUGUCACCCACUGCUUUGACCCCCUCCCAGGGCCAGACCACUGUUAGGAGACACUUGGGGAUUAGGAAAAGAGGCUGGUGGGGAUUUGGGUGCGCACAGCCGCUGAUGCACGUACCUCUAAUUCUGAUGUAUCCAGGCUGGCCUUUUUGGAAUACUUGAGGAAGUCCUGCAAGGGAAAUGGAGAGGACAUGAUAAUGGUGACAAAGACAACAGCAGCUGACCUUUCAUUUUUUUUUUUA
rnacentral:lncRNA from 1 species